GAACGCUGGCGGCGUGCCUAACACAUGCAAGUCGAACGAAGCACUUUGACUGAUUCUUCGGAUGAGAGAUAAGUGACUGAGUGGCGGACGGGUGCGUAACGCGUAUGUAACCUACCUCAAACAGGGGCAUAACACUGAGAAAUUGGUACUAAUUCCCCAUAACACUCAUUAAGGCAUCUUUUUGAGUUGAAAGUUCCGGCGGUUUGAGAUGGACAUGCGUUGUAUUAGCUAGUUGGUGAGGUAACGGCUCACCAAGGCGACGAUACAUAGGGGUUCUGAGAGGAAGGUCCCCCACACUGGAACUGAGACACGGUCCAGACUCCUACGGGAGGCAGCAGUGAGGAAUAUUGGUCAAUGGGCGAGAGCCUGAACCAGCCAAGUAGCGUGAAGGAAGACUGCCCUAUGGGUUGUAAACUUCUUUUGUUCGGGAAUAAAGUGCAGUACGCGUACUGUUUUGUAUGUACCGUUCGAAUAAGCAUCGGCUAAUUCCGUG
rnacentral:rRNA from 1 species